UACGAAGGGUGCAAGCGUUACUCGGAAUUACUGGGCGUAAAGCGUGCGUAGGUGGUUUGUUAAGUCUGUUGUGAAAGCCCCGGGCUCAACCUGGGAAUGGCAAUGGAUACUGGCAGGCUAGAGUGCGGUAGAGGGUAGUGGAAUUCCCGGUGUAGCGGUGAAAUGCGUAGAGAUCGGGAGAACACCAGUGGCGAAGGCGGCUACCUGGACCAGCACUGACACUGAGGCACGGACAGCAUGGGGAGCAAACAGG
rnacentral:rRNA from 1 species